UGAAACACCGAUUCCCGUAGGAUCACUGAAGUUAAGCAACGUUGAACCUGGUUAAUACUUAAAUGCGUGAGCUCUUGGGAAUACCAGAUUCU